rnacentral:rRNA from 1 species
GAUGAACGCUGGCGGCGUGCCUAAUACAUGCAAGUCGAGCGAACGGACGAGAAGCUUGCUUCUCUGAUGUUAGCGGCGGACGGGUGAGUAACACGUGGAUAACCUACCUAUAAGACUGGGAUAACUACGGGAAACCGUAGCUAAUACCGGAUAAUAUUUUGAACCGCAUGGUUCAAAAGUGAAAGACGGUCUUGCUGUCACUUAUAGAUGGAUCCGCGCUGCAUUAGCUAGUUGGUAAGGUAACGGCUUACCAAGGCAACGAUGCAUAGCCGACCUGAGAGGGUGGUCAGCCACACUGGAACUGAGACACGGUCCAGACUCCUACGGGAGGCAGCAGAAGGGAAUCUUCCGCAAUGGGCGAAAGCCUGACGGAGCAAAGCCGCGUGAGUGAUGAAGGUCUUCGGAUCGUAAAACUCUGUUAUUAGGGAAGAACAUAUGUGUAAGUAACUGUGCACAUCUUGACGGUACCUAAUCAGAAAGCCACGGCUAACUACGUG